AUUUAUGUAGUUUAAAAAAACAUUUUAUUUUCAAUAAAAAAAUGAGUUACGACUCCAUAAAUA
rnacentral:tRNA from 1 species